rnacentral:rRNA from 1 species
CACAAGCGGUGGAGUAUGUGGUUAAUUCGAUGCAACGCGAAGAACCUUACCUGGUCUUGACAUCCCGGAGACCCUUAGGAAACUAGGGGUGCUUCCAUCUGGAAGAAUCUGGAGACAGGUGCUGCAUGGCUGUCGUCAGCUCGUGUCGUGAGAUGUUGGGUUAAGUCCCGCAACGAGCGCAACCCUUGCCUUUAGUUGCCAGCAGUUCGGCUGGGCACUCUAAAGGGACUGCCGGUGUUAAACCGGAGGAAGGUGGGGAUGACGUCAAGUCCUCAUGGCCUUUAUGACCAGGGCUACACACGUACUACAAUGGCCGAUACAAAGGGCAGCGACACUGCGAGUUGAAGCCAAUCCCGUAAAAUCGGUCUCAGUCCGGAUUGGAGUCUGCAACUCGACUCCAUGAAGUUGGAAUCGCUAGUAAUCGUGGAUCAAGCAUGCCACGGUGAAUACGGUUCCCGGGCCUU